GAUCCAAUUAACACUCUGUGGCUGAAAGAUUGCUGUUCAUUCCAUCUAACUCCUCAGACGUGCACACCUACUCUCCAUCAACUCAUCAACUCAACAGUAUAUAUACCCCGGCUCUCAAUCCACUCGCCAGAUCGUUCUUUCAGCUACGGUUCACCCACCUGCCUUCUUGGAUUCAAAGCCUCUCAAUCAACCAGGCUCACAUCGCAACUCUGCUCUGAUCAGCCGUCUCCCUUUCACUCUGCAGACCUUGUGAAUCAUCGUCUCAUCUCCCUUCCUCUGCAAUAAACCUCAUUACAAGUCAA